rnacentral:rRNA from 1 species
AUUGAACGCUGGCGGCAGGCUUAACACAUGCAAGUCGAGCGGGGUGAUGGUGCUUGCACUAUCACUUAGCGGCGGACGGGUGAGUAAUGCUUAGGAAUCUGCCUAUUAGUGGGGGACAACAUCUCGAAAGGGAUGCUAAUACCGCAUACGUCCUACGGGAGAAAGCAGGGGAUCACUUGUGACCUUGCGCUAAUAGAUGAGCCUAAGUCGGAUUAGCUAGUUGGUGGGGUAAAGGCCUACCAAGGCGACGAUCUGUAGCGGGUCUGAGAGGAUGAUCCGCCACACUGGGACUGAGACACGGCCCAGACUCCUACGGGAGGCAGCAGUGGGGAAUAUUGGAAAAUGGGGGGAACCCUGAUCCAGCCAUGCCGCGUGUGUGAAGAAGGCCUUAUGAUUGUAAAGCACUUUAAGCGAGGAGGAGGCUCUUUUGGUUAAUACCCAAGAUGAGUGGACGUUACUCGCAGAAUAAGCACCGGCUAACUCUGUGCCAGCCGCCGCAGUAA